GGAUAGCUCAGUCAGUAGAGCAUGGGACUCCUAAUCUCAGGGACAUGGGUUCAAGCCCUGCAUUGGGCA